GAUGAAGAACGUAGCGAAAUGCGAUACUUGGUGUGAAUUGCAGAAUCCCGUGAACCAUCGAGUCUUUGAACGCAAGUUGCGCCCGAAGCCACUAGGCCGAGGGCACGCCUGCCUGGGCGUCACACGCCGUUGCCCCCCCAUCUACUCCUUCGGGAUUGCGGGGGGGCGGAUGAUGGCCUCCUGUGCGCCUAGCCGCGCGGUUGGCAUAAAUACCAAGUCCUCGACGACGCACGCCACGACAAUCGGUGGUUGCGAAACCUCGGUUGCCCGUCGUGUGCGUUCGUCGCGCAUCGAGGGCUCGAAAAAAUGCUCGGCUCCGGCUGGGCUUUCAACGCGACCCCAGGUCAGGCGGGGUUACCCGCUGAAUUUAAGCAUAUCAAUAAGCGGAGGA
rnacentral:misc_RNA from 1 species